AUUGAACGCUGGCGGCAGGCCUAACACAUGCAAGUCGAACGGCGCGGCGGAAGAGGGAGUACUGCCUGGGAAUCUGCCUGGGAGUAGGGGAUAAAGAACGGGAACGGACGCUAAUUCCGCAUACGAGCAAGUGAGCCUCGGUCGGAUUAGCUAGUUGGUGGGGUAAAGGCUUAACAAGUUGACGAUCCAUAACUGGUCUGAGAGGAUGAUCAUCCACACUGGAACGGAGACACGGUCCAGACUCCUACGGGAGGCAGCAGUGGGGAAUAUUGGACAAUGGGCGAAAGCCUGAUCCAGCCAUGCCGCGUGUGUGAAGAAGGUCUUCGGAUUGUAAAGCACUUUAAGUUGGGAGGCGUUACCAACAGAAUAAGCACCGGCUAACUACGUGCCAGCAGCCGCGGUAAUUC
rnacentral:rRNA from 1 species